UACGGAGGGUGCAAGCGUUAUCCGGAUUCACUGGGUUUAAAGGGUGCGUAGGCGGGCAGGUAAGUCAGUGGUGAAAUCCUCGAGCUUAACUCGGAAACUGCCGUUGAUACUAUCUGUCUUGAAUACCGUGGAGGUGAGCGGAAUAUGUCAUGUAGCGGUGAAAUGCUUAGAUAUGACAUAGAACACCAAUUGCGAAGGCAGCUCACUGCACGAAUAUUGACUCGGAGGCACGAAAGCGUGGGGAUCAAACAGG
rnacentral:rRNA from 1 species